rnacentral:rRNA from 1 species
CAUACAAUGGUCGGUACAGAGGGUUGCCAACCCGCGAGGGGGAGCUAAUCCCACAAAGCCGAUACGUAGUCCGGAUCGCAGUCUGCAACUCGACUGCGUGAAGUCGGAAUCGCUAGUAAUCGUGGAUCAGCAUGUCACGGUGAAUACGUUCCCGGGUCCUU